AACUGUUCACUUCAUUUCAGAGUAUUCUAUACUUUUAUUAUUAAUAAUAAUAAUAAUAAUAAUAAUAAAUGGAGAGUAUACUCUGAAAUGAAGUGAGCAGUUAGUAGGAUU